UACAGAGGUCUCAAGCGUUGUUCGGAUUCAUUGGGCGUAAAGGGUGUGUAGGUGGCGCGCUAAGUCGGGUGUGAAAUUUCGGAGCUUAACUCCGAAACUGCAUUCGAUACUGGCGUGCUUGAGGACUGGAGAGGAGACUGGAAUUUACGGUGUAGCGGUGAAAUGCGUAGAUAUCGGGAGGAACACCUGUGGCGAAAGCGGCUCUCUGGACCACAACUGACGCUGAGGCGCGAAAGCUAGGGGAGCAAACAGG
rnacentral:rRNA from 1 species